rnacentral:rRNA from 1 species
UACGGAGGAUGCAAGCGUUAUCCGGAAUGAUUGGGCGUAAAGGGUCCGCAGGUGGCAAUGUGUUGUCUGCUGUCAAAGAAUGGAGGCUUAACCUCAUCAAGGCAGUGGAAACUACAUAGCUAGAGUACGGUCGGGGUAGAAGGAAUUCCUGGUGUAGCGGUGAAAUGCGUGAGAGAUCAGGAAGAACACCGGUGGCGAAAGCGGCAUCCUGGACCGACACUGACACUGAGGAGCGAAAGCCAGGGGAGGCAAACGGG